UAAUGUGUUCCUUACAUCACCAGCUGAGAACAUCUUUUUGGGACUAUCAGCCAAGAAGAUUAAGGAAACUAAUACCAUUUGUCUGUUUCGGAUGCUAACAUCGAUUAGAGGAGAAAUGGAGACUGUGCUGCAGAACUAUUGGUCCAAGGUGAGAUCUGGUAGGUUUGAAGAAGCUGGAGCAAGCUGAAGAAGUUGAAAAUUGCCAAUUCUCAGCUAUUUACCUCCAGACAAGUGUGAGAGACAAGAAAGCAAAGCAGGUCAUUGCAAACACUGCUCUUCCUGAAUUAUGUUGAGGCUAUUGUCAAAAAUAAACACCACGUUCCUAAAUGUGAAUACAUCCUGGGGAGAGCAAAGUCCUUUUAGUUAUGCCUUAGAAGGAUCUAGAGUCAAAGCCAGAUGGUUCCUAGAAGCAAGCAAAUAAAUCUACCUGGCCUGCACAAGCCCAGUACGCAAGAUACUUUGUAAAAAGAAUGGAAAAUUCUUCUAAAAAGAAUGGAAAAUAAAAGAUGAGGUAAUAA
rnacentral:lncRNA from 1 species